GACAGAGGCCUCGAGCGUUAGGCGGAAUCCCUGGGCUUAAAGCGUGUGUAGGCGGACGCCUAAGUACCUUGUGAAAUCCCACGGCUCACCCGUGGAACCGCUGGGUAUACUGGGCGUCUUGGGCCAUUCAGGGGCAACUGGAACAAGCGGUGGAGCGGUGAAAUGCGUAGAUAUCGCUUGGAACGCCGACGGUGAAAACAGGUUGCUGGGAAUGUGCCGACGCUGAGACACGAAAGCCAGGGGAGCAAACGGG
rnacentral:rRNA from 1 species